rnacentral:lncRNA from 1 species
GCUGUAAGGGACGCCACUGGCCGUGUGGAAGCGCCGCCGCCGUCUCUUUGUUCUUUCGCUGAACACACGGCGCCUCUCAGGAAGGCGGUGUGCAGGCACGCGGGGACCGGGAGACAUCGCGGGGGCCCGGAGCCCGCCGCGGACGGGAGGCGGGGAGGAUAGGUGGCGGGAACCGGCCGAAGGGCGGGACGAAGCGCCGGCGGCUCUUGGCGGGAACCGGCGCCGCAGAGUUCCCGGGCGGGGGAGGGGCGGGGCGGGUGCUGGAAGCCAAGUUUGAACCAGUUCAAAACUCGGGGGUGGUAACGGUUUUAACCGCCGCGCUCGUUUCCCCGCGCGCGGAGCCGAGGCCCGGGCUGGCCGCUCCUAGUGGUGCCCGGGGAGGGGAGGGCGCGGGCCCCGGAGGUCGGCUCAGCUGUGGCGCCGCGUUUGCCGGGAGACGCUCGCCCGGCCCGCGCGCUGCCGCCGGACCCGUUACUACUUUUUUUUUUUUCUCCUGAGACGGAGUUUCGCUCUGGUUGUCCAGGCUGGAGUGCAAUGGCGCGAUCUCGACUCACCGCAACCUCCGCCUUCCGGGUUCAAGCGAUUCUCAUGCCUCAGCCUCCCGAGUAGCUGGAUUACAGGCAUGCGCCACCACGCCCGGCUAAUUUUCUAUUUUUAGUAGAGACGGGUCUUGGUCAGGCUGGUCUCGAACUCCCGACUUCUGGUGAUCCGCCCGCCUCGGCCUCCCAAAGUGCUGGGAUUACAGGCGUGAGCCACCGCCGCCGACCCGGGCCCUGUUUGAUUAUGUCUGCUGCUGCCUUGGCCGUUUUUUCCCCCACCGCUGGACUUUGGCUGGCCGAGCUUGCAGUGCUUAUCGCCCUAGAAACCUGUGAAAGGGCGACAUUGCUGCCAUUUCAGACCCUUCCACUGUUCGUAGUUCUAAGCACGUGUCAGUGUUAAAAAUCCUUUAUCAAGAUGAGCACUGUUCACUUGCCGCCUCUGCAAAGCGUGAGCCACUGCGCUGGGCCAGAAUUUUUCAUCAGAUGAUUUAGCCCAUAAUUUUCCCGCCUUUCCUAAAUCACCAUCCCAUUCCUCACAUAUAUUCUGAAUCACUCCAAUGUUGGAAAGUAUAUAUAAAGGGAAGCUAAAAGAUAAGGAGAAACAAGCAAUCAUGUGCCCAGAUAAAAGCAAAAUUGUCUUGUGAAUCAGUGAUAACACUGCAAAAAGUAAAUAGGUUAUGCAGCUGAGAUGUGACUGUAAAAUAACGUAACGAAUUAUAGCUGCCAUUACUUCCAGUCACGAAUACAUUCAUUCUCCAAGAUAAAAUGCAUCUGUCUAGGCCACCAAUUUACAAUUUUUUAAAACCAGCAAUUUAAACCUCAGAAAUUAACUACUUAUCCCUAAGUUGCUUAUCAAAUUACUGAACUUAUCAGUCCUGUAAUACUAAAUAUUAAAACAAGGCAUUUUUAAGAGGAAGAUCAACGAAAUUAGAGACUACCAUAAAGCAAAUCAAAGCAGUAUAUAACUCUGCAACAUGGUGUGAAAUGUCAUGUAAAUUGCUAGACGUUUAGAAUCAAGGAAUGGAUGGAUCAAGAUAUUCCAGGCCAGACUUAGUGGUUCACACCUGUAACCCCAGUACUUUCAGAAGUCGAGGUGGGAAGCUCCGAGACCAGCCUGGGCAACAUAGCAAGACCCUAUCUCUACAAGAAAUUUAAAAAAUAACUGAGUGUGGUGGCACAGAAGUACCUAUGGUCCCACCUGCCCCUGAGGCUGAGGUGAGGGGUCUGCUUGAGCUCAGGAUCCCAAGGUUACCGUGAGCUAUGAUCACAUCACUGUGCUCCAGCCUGAGCAACAGAGUGAGACCCUAUCUCUUUAAAAAAAAAAAAAAGUGAUUGGACAAAAUAUAAUUAUUGGCACCAAGUGAAUGUUAGGAAAAAAAAAAAACACGUACAAAGAACUUUAUAGAGCAGCCAUUCCCACUGGGAAGAGUGUGUAGGUUGGACUCUAACCAUUAAAGAGCUAGGUGGGAUGAUACUAAAUAUAUAUAACAGACAUUUAAUAUAAAUAUGAUAUGAAGGCUAAGGUGAAAAGGGAUGCCAGUGGAUCACAGUAUUUUCUUGAUUCAAUGAUGACAUUGUCCAUUUAAGCAAGGUAGUUUAGGCCACAGUAAUGGCAGAAAAAGGGGAUAAUUUGAAAAUAUUCCAGAAGGACUUCAUUGUAUGUGGGGUUCAUGAUGUCUCGCGACUCCUUUCCGUAUAUGACAAAUACAGCAAAGUUAGGAGGGGGAAGAAGUAUUUUGCUUUUGCUACCAAAAGAAAAACUGUCUGAAGAUGUCUAACCCAGGAAAGCAAGAAAAUAUACAGGCCUAUUUAACAGACCUCUAUGACUAUUUCAAUGGGAAAAAAAAUUUUUAAUGUGUGUAAUGAAUAGUAAACAUAUAAGCAAGUGUGUGUGUGAAUGCCAGUUACUCAAGGGGCCUAGAUGAAGCAGAAAGCCAGGCUAAACACAAAGGUGGAUAUGGAGGUUGAGGGUCACCAAGCUUUUUCAUUUCUGUAAAGAUUGUUCUGUGUGAACAACAAAGAUUUGGUAUUAAAGUUAAAAGAUGAAACGAAAAACAGUUAAGCCCCAAAGUUGUAACCCCAGGGCCUAGCGUGCCCGGCACUUUGGGGACCGAGAUGGGAGGAUUACUUGAGUUCACAAGUUCUAGAUCAGCCUGAGCAACAUAGCGAAACCUCAUCUCUUCCAAAAAUACCAAACUUAGCCGGUCAUGGUGCCUAUAGUCCCAGCUACUCUGGAGGCUGAGGUGGGAGGAUCGCUUGAGGCUGGGAGGCGGAGGUUGCAGUGAGAUGGGACCACAGCACUCCAGCCUGGGAAUAAAAUAAUUUUUUAAAAGCCACUUGGUUAAGGAAGCCCUCAUUUUGAAGGUGACAUAUGAAGAAAAACUUGAAGGAGCUGAGGGAGCAUUUACUGAGAGAAGACUGUUCUAGGCAGAGAGAAGGGCCAGUCAGUGCCUGGGCCUGAGGCAGAAGCGUGGCUGAUGUGCUCUGGCACAGGAAGGGGAAGAAAAGUGGGAAAUGAUGUUGAAGAAUGGAGGCGGCACAAGCAGAUUUUUCAGCUCCUUGUGGACCAUAGUUAGGUCUUUAUCUUUUAUAAAAUGAGAGGAUUUUGAGUGGAAAGGCGAUUUGAUCAUUUAAACAAGAUCAUUCUAGCUCCUGUGUUGAAAGGAUCCUGAAGCGGAGCCGGGGCCAAAUCAGAGAGGACAGUGAUGAGUCCGUUGUAAUAAGCCAGGCAAGAAAUGAUUGUGGCUCAGACCAAAGUGGUAGCAGUGAGCUGGUGGGAAGUGGAGUCUGGAUAUAUUUUGAAGGUAUAAGCAACAGAAUUUCCUGACAGAUUGGAUAUAGGAUACAAGAAAGAUUGCAUGUAAGAAGUAUCAGUUCUCAAUACAAGAAGCCUGAGAAGGGAUGAGCUCUCAUGAAGAGCCAGAGUGGCAUUAUACUGCAGCCUGGAACACACCCCAGGCUGGGGUCAGGAGAUGUGUGGCAUGUCGAGAAACCUUCAUAAAGAUAACAUAAUUUUUGGUUGUGAUUGAAAUUAACCUGAUCCUUUUCGGAACCAGCUUGAAAGAGUCACCUCUAGAAAACCCAAGGAAGGUGUGGUAGCCAGCCUCUAAAAUGCUCCUUUUUGGCUUUGUUUUUAUUUUUAUUUUUUUGUUUUUUUGAGAGAGAGUCUCGCUCUGUUGGCCAGGCUGGAGUACGGUGGCACAAUCUUGGCUCACUGCACCCUCCAUCUCCUGGGCUCAAGCGGUUCUGCCUCAGCCUCCCGAGUAGCGGGGAUUACAGGUGCGCGCCACCAUGCUUGGCUAAUUUUUGUACUUUUAGUAGAGAUGGGGUUUCACCAUGUUGGCCAGGCUGGUCUCGAACUCCUGACCUCAGGUGAUCUGCCCGCCUCGGCCUCCCAAAGUGCUGGGAUUACAGGCGUGAACCAACAUACCUGGCCAAUGCUCCCGUAUUAUUAAUACCACCUCCUGGUAUUCACUGCCUUGUGUAAUCUUCUCCCUUGUUGUGGGCUAGACCUAUUGACUUGCUUCUAAUAGGAUAUGGCCACAAAAAGAAUGGGAUGUUAUCCCCAAAAUCACAUAAUGAGGAGAUCGUGACCUCCCAGCUCCUGUAUCCCUUCCUCUGGCUGUAACAAGCUGCUAUUUCAGCUUUAUCUCAUAGCUCCACCACCCUAAGUUCCAGCCAUAUUGUAUUACUCACUUUCCCAAACAGAGUUUCAGCUAAACUGAUCAAGAUGUUACCAUUUUAAGACGUUUAAGAAAGAAAUUUGAUCAAACAAAAUAAGUAGACUAAAAUAGAUAAAAGCCUUUAGACUAUCUAGAAAUUCCCUGGCUGUUUUAAACAAAUUCAAGUGUGAAACUGAGGAGUACUUGGCCAAAAUAUGGUUACAAACAACCCCUGGGCAGAGUAUCAUUUUCCAGAUGGGACACCUGUCUUGUAAAAGACUGUUGAGGAUUUGGGGAAGCAAAGAACUUACCACUAUUCUGGGCUGUAACAAAGGAGAAGCUCAAUAAAGACUAAAAAAUACUGUACAAAGAGAGGACAUAGAGGAUCACUUGAGCCCAGGAGUGCUGGGCUGUAGUGGGCUGUGUUGAUCAGGUGUCUGCACCAAGUUGAGCAUCAGUAUGGUGAACUUCCAGGAACUAGAGACCACGAGGUUGCCUAAGGAGGGGUGAAUCGACCCAGGUUGGAAAUGGACCAGGUUAAAACUCCUGUGCUGAUCACUGCUAGUGGGAUUAUGCCUGUGAAUAGCCACUACCCUCCAGUUUGGGCAACAACAUGACCCCAUCUUUUUUUUUUUUUUAAAGUCCAGGCGUGGUGGCUCACACCUGUAAUCCCAGCACUUUGGGAGGCUGAGGUGGGCUGAUUGCCUGAGCUCAGGAAUUCGAGACCAGCCUGGGCAACAUGGUGAGACACCAUCUCUACUAAAAACACAAAAAUUAGCCAGGUGUGAUGGCGCAUGCCUAUGGUCCUAGUUACUCGAGAGGCUGAGGUACGAGAAUUGCUUGAACCUGGGCAGCAGAGGUUGCAAUGAGCUGGGAUCACGCCAGUGAACUCUAGCCUGGGCAAGAGAACAAGACUGCCUCAAAAAAAAAAAAUGGUUUUAGGAAAGGAUAAGACAUGGAAACAAAACCGCACAAUUGUAUAAGUAAUCAUCAAGUAUUAGAAUUAAUGAGUGAAGUUAACAAGGUCACUGGAUACAAACUUAGUUUACAAAAAAGUCCAUUUCUGUGUAUAACAAUAAAGAGGAAAUUAAACUUUUAAAGUGAUAUAUACCAUUUACCUUUGGGAAAAUAUCAAAUAUCUAGUCAUCUGAUGAAAGAUGUGUAAGACCUAUGCACAAAGCAUUACAAAACAAUAUUGAGGAAAACUUUUUUAAAGCCCUAAAUAGAGGGAAUGUCAUUUUUAUGAUUUGGAAGAUGCACAGAUUCAACAUGAUGCCAAUUAAAAUCCCAGCAGGAUUUGUGAGUGCGUUUGCAUCUGUGUUGUGUGUAGAAAUUGACAAGUUGAUUCUAAAAUACAUGCAAAAUGCAAAAGGCCGAAAAGAGCCAAGAGAAUUAAAGAAGAAUGAAACUGGGCAACUUUACUACCAAAUAUCAAAACCUGGCUGUUUAUUUUACUUUUUAUUUUUUUUGAAAUGGAGUUUCACUCUUGUUGGACAGGCUGGAGUGCAAUGGCAUGGUCCUGGCUCACUGCAGCCUCCGCCUCCUGGAUUCAAGCGUUUCUCCUGCCUCAGCCUCCCAAAUAGCUGGGAUUACAGGUGCCUGCCACCAU